rnacentral:rRNA from 1 species
UACAGAGACUGCAAGCGUUAUUCGGAUUCACUGGGCGUAAAGGGUGCGCAGGCGGCCAAGUGUGUUAGGCGUGAAAGCCCGAGGCUUAACCUCGGAAUUGCACCUAAAGCUACAUGGCUAGAGUACUGGAGAGGGUAACGGAAUUCACGGUGUAGCAGUGAAAUGCGUAGAUAUCGUGAGGAACACCAGAGGCGAAGGCGGUUACCUGGACAGUUACUGACGCUCAGGCACGAAAGCGUGGGGAGCAAAAGGG